rnacentral:lncRNA from 1 species
GGAUAUAGGUGGUACCUACAUGGGAACACAUUGCCUAAUACCACCCAGAAUGGGUAGCAAAGUUCAUAGUAAAGUUUCCACUAUGAGUGGCAGGUGGCGGGCUCUUCUGAGAAAGAACCUUCUAGAUGCAUAUUGUGGGGAGCAGAUGAAACUCUGAGGCUUUCAGAGACGUGAGGUACGGUGCCAAGGCCACACCACUGAGACAGGGGUCUCACUAUGUUGCCCAAACUGGCCUUGAUCUUCUGGGCUCAAGCAAUCUUCCUACCUCAGCCUCCUAGCUGCUGGGAUUGCAGAUAAGAAAUUGAGGCUCAGUGUUGGCAGGUAACAUGUUCAAGAUCUUGAAACUAGCAGGUGGCAGAGCUGAUGUUCGUCUGUCUCCAUGUGCUCAGAAUUCUGAGAGGAAUUGCUGAAAAGGAUGGGGAAUCUGAGCUACAUAUGCAUAGCAUUGAUUUCAGUGAGAAAACUACACAUUUUUCACCAUAUUAAAAAAAAUCUGUUCUUGAAUCUUGAUGAUAGUUGCAUAGUUUUUAAAUUACCCCGACAGAAAAAUUAUGUCAAAGAUGAACCUAAACAAAACGGAAUGACAUGUUGUUUGGAUUACUGAGCCGGAGAAGCCGCUGGACCAUUGAGAUUUAGUAGGCAAUAUGUUUGCCAGCCUUUUUGAAAAUUGGAAUGUUAUUUUUGAACUUCAUCAAAGAACAUGCUGCAUCUCUAAGGCCUGCAAGAUUAUUCGGUGCCCAUCCCAUUUAUGGACUGCAAACUUACUUGAUUCCUGAUAGCAGAGUUGAGAUAUAGGGUUCAUCCGUGUUGCUGCAUGUGUCAGAAUUUCUUUCCAUCUUCAGGCUGAAUAGUACUCCGUUGUAUGUAUAUACCACAUUUGGUCUAUUCAUUUGUCUGUCGAUGGACAUGUAGACUGCUGCUUCAUUUUGGCGACUGUGGUAACCCUGCUAUGGACAUGGAUAUGCAAAUAACAAGUAGCCCCUGUGUCUGCUAUUCCCCUCUAUCUGUUCUUGUGAAGAGAAUGCUUCUCUAGCACAAGUUCAAUAUGAUCUGGGAAUUUGAACUGGAUCAGCUGAGUACUUUAUCAGUAGGAAGAUAACUCUCUUUAGAAGCUGAAAAUCAUUCUGCACAGAAACACAUAUGCGCAUACUCACACACACACACAGAUGCCUUCAAGCGAGGAUGCCUUAAGUAAUUAAAGGUAAUGUGUAUCAAGCUUUAAUUACAAAAUCACUGUGCUCUUCUGAAUUGUACAAAAUUAUCAUACAAGCAGCACAAAUAACAUCAUGCCACAAGGCUGCAUUUCCUACCAUGAGCUUUAACAAUUUAUUUUCAGAACUUCAUUUAUCCAUGAAUUAUGCAUGCAUCUCUACACAUUCCCUAUAUGCCUGGAUUAUUAGGUAUAUGCCAUAUUAUGAAGGCUGUGAAAGUGAUUACAAGAAAGUCAAAGAUACCCAGAUAGGAUCUUUCCUGAGAACCAUUUACUUAUGCACAUUCACCCACAUUUGUAAACAUAAUAUUGCAGCAAAAGGCUUGGGCUCCAGUCAUUCAGAGUAGCCACAUUGCCCAGAAAUAUAUAACUUUAUGUACUUUCAUUUAUAAGUGUUUUUAUCAUGGAACAUAAGGGACUAUUCAUGCUGUAAAUCAAGAUCUUGUAAUUUCAGUGUCUGAUAUAAGUCAGACUACUGGAAAGAAAGAAAUGUAAUUAAAAUUAGAAAGAAAAAAAGAAAA